rnacentral:rRNA from 1 species
GAUGAACGCUGGCGGCGUGCCUAAUACAUGCAAGUCGAGCGAACAGACGAGGAGCUUGCUCCUCUGACGUUAGCGGCGGACGGGUGAGUAACACGUGGAUAACCUACCUAUAAGACUGGGAUAAAUUCGGGAAACCGGAGCUAAUACCGGAUAAUAUAUUGAACCGCAUGGUUCAAUAGUGAAAGACGGUUUUGCUGUCACUUAUAAAUGGAUCCGCGCCGCAUUAGCUAGUUGGUAAGGUAACGGCUUACCAAGGCAACGAUGCGUAGCCGACCUGAGAGGGUGAUCGGCCACACUGGAACUGAGACACGGUCCAGACUCCUACGGGAGGCAGCAGUAGGGAAUCUUCCGCAAUGGGCGAAAGCCUGACGGAGCAACGCCGCGUGAGUGAUGAAGGUCUUCGGAUCGUAAAACUCUGUUAUUAGGGAAGAACAAAUGUGUAAGUAACUAUGCACGUCUUGACGGUACCUAAUCAGAAAGCCACGGCUAACUACGUG